rnacentral:lncRNA from 7 species
UCCUCGAGGCCCCGCGGCGGGGCUGGGUGUCCCGGGAGUGUCCUGACCGCCCCAUGGAGAUCCUUCCUGUUCUGCUUGGAGGAACUGCGGUAGCCCUCUGGCUGGAGGAGGGAGUGACCUUUCUAAGCUGACUUGGGGGCUGGCACCCACUGAAAUCAACCAUGUUUGAUAUUGAGUGCAAGAGAAAGAGACAGGCACUGGAGAAGAACAUCUGUGGCCCAGGGAAGUUGAGUGAUGUGCAGCUGCUGGGGACACGUGGCACUCGUGCUGUGUCCCCAGGGCAGCCAGCACUUUGUCCCCAAGCACUGCAGGGCGCUGAACACCCAGGCCAAGGUCAGCAUGGAGCCACUGGGGUUUUCCCAUCUUCUGCUUGGCCAUGGGAGGGGACAGGACAGACUCUACGAAUGGGAGGACAACGAGAUGUGGAAGAGCAGUGCUGCAGUGGCACAGGCUGUCCAGGGAGGUGGUGGAGUCACUGUUCCUGGAGUGUGGAUGUGGCACUGAGGGACACGGUCAGUGGGCACGGGGACCAUGAGAGGCACCAGGAGAAGCGGAUGGGUACCGGAGUGCUCUGCGUGACCAUGGGGGAACGUAUCCUCUCCUUGGACCUGAGCACCUCUGUGUCAGUGCUGGGUGGGAUCUGCCACGCUGGGAGGGCUGCAGCAGCACUGCCCAUCACCCCAUUACCCACUGCCUCCUGUGGGUGUUGGCUUUUUCUGCUGAGAGCCACAGCUGCAACUUCUGCAAGCGCUUGCUAGCUGAUUCACUCCAAGGAAAACUUUGCCCUCGGUAGAAACACCCUGUGGAGCAAGAGGGACGCGCUCCCUCACAGAGACCUGCAGCAGCAGCAUGGCUCCUGUGCCAUG